UCAAAUGAAAUCAGAGCAACCUUAGUUGAUCAUGUCAUCAACCAUGGGCUGACAAUGCGAGAGGCUGGACAGAGAGUGCAGCCCAACUUGAGCCGUUUUACUGUCGCCUGUGUCAUCCGGACAUUUAGACUGCAGUACAGGACUGAGAGACGCAACCAUGGUGGAGGAAGGGGCCAAAUGUUCACCGGGGUACAGGAAGCUGCCAUUGUUAACUUGGUUUUGGAAAAUAAUGAAAUCAGAUUACGAGAAAUUCAAAGCCACAUAAUCCAAGACAACACCAUAUUCAACAACAUUCAACGAGUCAGUCUGUCCACAUUGGCUCGCAUUCUCAAGCGAAACCAAAUCAGAAUGAAACAACUUUAUAAGGUGCCGUUUGAGAGAAACUCUCAAAGAAACAGAGGUCAGAUGAGCAUAUGUGGAUGGAGUACUGGAAAUGGAUGCUCAUGCAAUCCCACAUGAGUUCAUCUUUAUAGAUGAGGCUGGGUUCAACCUAGCAAAGACCAGAAGAAGGGGGAGAAACGUCAUUGGCCACAGAGCCAUUAUAGAUGUUCCUGGCCAACAUGGUGGGAACAUCACAAUGUGCGCUGCCAUCUCCAAUACGCAUGGUGUCCUCCACCGUCAUGCCAACCUUGGACCAUACAACACAGCCCAUAUUUUCACAUUUCUGGACAGACUCCACAACAUUCUCAUACCACCAGAGCGUAUGAAUGAUGCAGACCAUCAAAGAACCCGGUACGUUGUAGUAUGGGACAACGUGAGCUUUCAUCGUGCAGCCCCAGUCCAAAACUGGUUUGCUGACCACCCACCAUUUCUCGUGCAAUACCUCCCACCAUACUCACCCUUUCUGAACCCCAUAGAAGAGUUAUUUUCGGCAUGGCGGUGGAAGGUAUACGACCGGCAGGCCUUUGUGCGCAUGCCUCUUGUGCAGGCUAUGGAAGAGGCAUGUGAUGAGAUUGAUGUGGGUGCGAUUCAGGGAUGGAUAAGGCACUCAAGGCGCUUCUUCCCUCGAUGUCUGGCAAGGGAAGAUAUUGCCUGUGAUGUGGACGAGGCGUUGUGGCCAGACCCAGCUGUGUGGCAAGAUGCUGCCUAAUUAUUUUUCUUGCCUCUUUUUUUCUACAUAUUUUUUCUGCAAUUUUCUUUUUCAGUUUAU